AACUUUAAUGGAUCUCUCUCUCUCUCCCCCCCUUCGUGUAGGAAUUUCAACUUAGUCGUCACUCACCCUCUCAGGCCAGGCAACCAAAAAGAAUUACAGCCCCCAAGACUUUUGAAAUUCAUCAAUUGGUUCAGUCCACAGGAGAGAGAGAGAGAGAGAGAGAGAGAGAGGAUGAAGGUGAAGGGUGGAGGUAAGAAAAAGAACGUGGCAGGAGCGUCAAGCGAAGGACUUGAAGACGACCCCACGACUCCCGUCGGUAACGGCGGUGAAGCAGAAGGAGGCCCUCUUGAAGAGAAGGAGGUGGAGGAAGCCGAGGAAGGAGAAGAAGCCGACGAGGACGAUGACGAGGACGAGGACGAUGCCGAGGGCGAGGCUGAUGAGGAAGGAGCUGAACGCCCGAAGCUAGACGAGGGCUUUUACGAGAUCGAGGCGGUCCGCCGCAAAAGGGUUCGCAAGGGGCAAGUUCAGUAUCUCAUCAAAUGGCGUGGCUGGCCAGAGACAGCCAAUACCUGGGAACCCGUAGAGAAUCUCAUGUCGUGUUCUGAUGUUAUUGAAGCAUUUGAAGAGAGUUUGAGGUCGGGAAAGCAGAGAUCUUCUCGUAAGCGUAAACGCAAGUAUGGGGCUCCUCAUGCCCAAGCCAAAAAGAAGCCACAGAAUCAGCAGCACCGAGCCCCUUCUGCAGCUUACAGUUCUGGUGGUGCUGAGACUAGCUCUAUUGAUGAGCCUCCUACUUCUUCUGCCCCUAAAAUCUUAAGCUUUGCAGAUCUUUCUAACCCUGCCCAAGCUGUGGGUUCUGGAUUUAAUGGAGAGAUUAACUUGGAUAGGAAUGGAUUUGAAACAGACCAGCAAGUGGCUCAAAAUGGACUGACAUAUGGUCUUCAGCAACCUGUCCAGAGAGAAGAACUUGAGUAUGAUCCCAAGCUUAGUGAACUAAGGGCGACAGCGUGUUCCAAUGGUGUUGAUCAGGAUAAUCUUGCUGUAAAUUUCCGAGAACCCAAGGCUAUUGGAAGCACUGGCCCCACAACUGGGGUGCACAAUACCGAUUCACUUGAUCCAGGUCAAAGCAAUCGCAAUACAGGAGCUAAGAGACGAAAAUCUGGUUCUGUGAAGAGGUUUAAGCAAGAAUUGGCCUCAGGUGGUUCAGCUGCAGAAAAUGCCAUUUGUAGCUCUGAACAACAGGGUUUUGGAAAUCCUGACUUCUCAAGAAAUGAAUCUUGUCUAAUUAAGAGCAGUGUUUCCAACAGUGAUCCUGUUAUAACCAAGAUCAUAAAGCCCAUAGGCUUUUCAGCUUCUGUGUCGAACAACAUUCAGGAUGUGUCAGUAACCUUCAUGGUGAUGAGCUUGUCACUAUGAUGACUUAUGUGUGAUGAGCCCAACACUUGUGACUUGGCGCUUCUCCUUUUCCAAGUGAAAUGCAAGGUUCAUUAGUAGGCCAAUGCUAAUAAGUAGAGGAAAAUGAGGGCACAUUAAGAAUUUUAACAAGGUCCGAUGGGAAAGAAGUGAUGGUCGAUAACCGGUUUUUGAAGGAGAAUUGCCCUCUUCUGCUGAUCGACUUCUAUGAGCAACAUCUUCGCUACAGUCCGACGUCAUGAUCGAGUAGAGCUGUAUAUGGUGAGUUUUAAGCUAUUCAGGCGAUGUACAUGCGAGGCUCUGUGCAGGACAGGCAAAGGUAUUUGUAAUGAGAAAGACUAUUUGCUGUGGAAAUUCUGCGUGAGUAUGUUGUGAACUUGUUUUGUUAGAUCCUCCUAUGUCUCUCUCUUCUUGUUGUUAGCAGAACCAAUUGCAGUCUGACCAUCUCUGUAUCAUAAUCUAUAGGGUCUCAGGGUUUAGAUGAUCUGAUGUCUUAAAGACUCGAGCUUUUUAACAUUUCGGCAUUUGAGAUUUCA